rnacentral:rRNA from 1 species
UACGUAGGUGGCAAGCGUUGUCCGGAUUUACUGGGCGUAAAGGGCGUGUAGGCGGUCUGUUAAGUCUAGGGUGAAAGCUCCCGGCUCAACUGGGAGAGGUCCUUGGAUACUGGCGGACUUGAGGGAGGCAGAGGAAAGUGGAAUUCCCGGUGUAGUGGUGAUAUGCGUAGAUAUCGGGAGGAACACCAGUGGCGAAGGCGGCUUUCUGGGCCUUACCUGACGCUGAGACGCGAAAGCGUGGGGAGCGAACCGG